UUUUAAUUUUGAAAAAAGGAAAAUAAUACAGCAAAACCCAUGGACCCAUUCACUCCCCAGAAUUAAUGUUAAUAUCUUGUGUACUUAUUUCAGAUCUUCUUGUAUUAUGUAUAUAUGUGUGUGUGUAUAUAUAUUUAUUUAUUAUUAUUAUUAUUUUUUGAGAUGGAGUUUUUCUUUUGCUGCCCAGGCUGGAGUGCAAUGGCGCAAUCUUGGCUCACCGUAACAGGGAGACUCCGUCUCAAAAAAAAAAUAAAUGAAACAAACAAACAGAAAAACCAACUUCUACUUUCUCCAUGUCCCCACUAACACCAGUAUUAUCAGGCUUUUUUAUGUUGCCCAUCUGAAGAUAAUAAAUGUGUACUUUUUGGAUUAGUAAUAAGGCUAUCCAACUGUUAAAUGAUAUACAGGAAAAAACUUUGAUAUGUGAGAAAAUUCUUAUAAUAUUAGGUGAGAAAGGUUGAAGACAAAAUUAUAUUUUAGGAACUCUCAAGCAUGUUAACUUUUUUAAAGGAAACCUACAAUUAUGUCAAAAUUAAAAGUUUAAUUUUUUUUUUUUUUGAGAUGGAGUCUCACUCUGGUGUCCAGGCUGGAGAGCAGUGGCACAAUCUCGGCUCACUGCAACUUCUGCCUCCGGGGUUCAAGAGAUUCUCCGGCCCAGCCUCCUGAGUAGCUGGGAUUAUAGGUGCAGGCCACCAUGCCCAGGUAAUUUUUGUAUUUUUUAGUAGAGAUGGGCUUUUGCCAUGUUGGUCAGGGUGGUCUUGAACUCCUGACCUGAGGUGAUCCCCCCGCCUUGGCCUCUCAAAGUGCUGGGGUUACAGGUGUG
rnacentral:lncRNA from 1 species